GGUUUCAUAGUGUAGUGGUUAUCAUGUCUGCUUUACAUGCAGUAGGUCCUGGGUUCAAUCCCCAGUGAAACAA
rnacentral:tRNA from 1 species